rnacentral:rRNA from 1 species
AUUGAACGCUGGCGGCAUGCCUAACACAUGCAAGUCGCACGCAAAAGGGGGCAACCCUGAGUAGAGUGGCGGGCGGGUGAGUAACGCGUAGGAAUCUACCUGGUAGUGGGGGACAACCCGGUGAAAACCGGGCUAAUACCGCAUACGAUCCACGGAUGAAAGCAGGGGACCGCAAGGCCUUGCGCUAUCAGAUGAGCCUGCGUCGGAUUAGCUAGUUGGUGGGGUAAAGGCCCACCAAGGCGACGAUCCGUAGCUGGUUUGAGAGAACGACCUGCCACAAGGGGACUGAGACACGGCCCAGACUCCUACGGGAGGCAGCAGUGGGGAAUAUUGGACAAUGGGGGCAACCCUGAUCCAGCAAUGCCGCGUGUGUGAAGAAGGCCUUCGGGUUGUAAAGCACUUUCGGUGGGGACAAACAAGGUGGAGCUAACAUCUCCGCCUCUGAUGGUACCCAAAGAAGAAGCACCGGCUAACUCUGUGCCAGCCGCCGCCGUAA